ensembl:lncRNA
UUAUUUAUUUAUUUAUUUUUGGUUGUCCCAGUCCAGCCCAACCCUGGCAGACGACCAACAAUGCGUCGGUCCACCAGGAAAACGCACCGUAUGCCAGAUUACCGGUCCAGCACUGCGGAUGCCAGAUGUGAUAUUGGAAGGGGAACAUUUUCAAGAGACUUUACUGCAGCACAUCUCUCCAGAAUAUCAGUUAUACCCUGGGUCUGCCAUAGGGCCUCCAUUACAUAAACACCUAGGACGACAAUUUACAAUCAAAUCAAAUUUGCAUAGAUGGUCUUUGAUCAGUGGUUGUUGAUCAAUGGUCAGGACAAAUUGCAUAUGAAUGAUCAAUGAACUGACCUCACAACCUAUUGCUCAGUGAGCUAGUUUCAGUCAUUGUGCAAAGUAACUGAUAUAAGGUUGGAGAAGCCUGCAGCCAGCGGAGACUGAAAAGGCCACUUGGAUGAGUGAGGGAACGUUUUCUGACACUGAAAAAGCAAAGUCCAGAUGAACAGAAUCAACCAUUUGAGCAGACUGAAAAAUGUGCUCAAAUAACCAGAAAAAAAACGCACAGAACUUUUUGAAUCAAUGUCAGUGAAGAGAAGAAGGCCAGGGCCUAUUAAAUGCCACAGCCUAAAGGCAGCGGAGUUGCGGAGGCUGGAGUGACCGCUGGCUAUCUACUUCCAGGGUGGUGGGUCUCAGAGGACAACUGCUAACCCUGUUGAAGUCAACACGUGGAGUGCAACUGGCGUUGUGGCAUAGCUGGCUCUGGCCUUGGGAUUGUAUGUUUUUACUUGUUCUGCAAAUGGGACACUGGACUGUUUUAUCUUAUCUUUUGAUUGUAUCAAAUUAUCUUUUAGAAUUUUAUUGACUGUCAUCCUUUUGCCCACAGCUGAGACUGUUGGUCAGACCUAGACUCUUUUUGUGUGUGUUAGCCUACACAUACAUGAUUGUUAACCAUUGUUAAAUUUCCCAAUUCUUUGAUCUUUGGGCUGAAGGAAGAACAACACUCGGUGUAUAAAAAUGCUCAAUCAACA